AACUAAAAAGAGCCACAUGUUAUCGUCUCCGCGUUUCAUCGGACUGCCUCCGUAAUCCCGUGCCUCCCCACGACCUCGCGACACCGCCCCACGACGCCGCUGCCUACCAACCUCCCCCUGACCCCGCGACGACGCCCCACGCCCGCCGCCGCCAGCCUUGCCCUGCACGUCGGCGCCGCCAGCCCCUACUCGCCGGCGCCCGCCGCACCGUGGGAAGCCUCGCCGCUGCCUACCAACCUCCCCCUGACCCCGCGACGACGCCCCACGCCCGCCGCCGCCAGCCUUGCCCUGCACGUCGGCGCCGCCAGCCCCUACUCGCCGGCGCCCGCCGCACCGUGGGAAGCCUCCUACUCCCGUGCCCAACCUCCCCACAACCCCGGCGUCGCCCCGCGACGCCGCCCUGCGACGCCGGCGGCGGCCCUUGCCCUGCACGUCGACGCCGCUAGCCCCAAGAAGCCUCCUACUCCCGUGCCCAACCUCCCCACGACC
rnacentral:lncRNA from 1 species